UAACAAGGAUUCCCCUAGUAACUGCGAGUGAAGCGGGAAGAGCUCAAAUUUAAAAUCUGGCAGUGUAACAGCUGUCCGAGUUGUAAUUUCAAGAAGUGUUUUCUGUGCCAGACCGUGUACAAGUCUCCUGGAAUGGGGCGUCAUAGAGGGUGAGAAUCCCGUCUUUGACACGGACUUCAUAUGGUGCUCUGUGAUACACUCUCAAAGAGUCGAGUUGUUUGGGAAUGCAGCUCAAAAUGGGUGGUGAACUCCAUCUAAAGCUAAAUAUUGGCGAGAGACCGAUAGCGAACAAGUACCGUGAGGGAAAGAUGAAAAGCACUUUGGAAAGAGAGUGAAACAGUACGUGAAAUUGCUGAAAGGGAAACGCUUGAAGUCAGUCGCAUUUGCUUGAAUUCAGCUACUCUUUCGAGGGUGGUGUACUUUCACAGUGAAUGGGCCAGCAUCACUUUUGGCUGCUGGAAAAGGGCAGGAGAAAUGUGGCACUCUUUUUAAGGGUGUGUUAUAGUCUUCUGUCAUAUACAGCGGCUAGGAGUGAGGAAUGCCUUUUUUGUAGGAUGCUGGCAUAAUGGCUUUAAACGAC
rnacentral:rRNA from 1 species